CCCAUUUCCCUUAAAUGCCUAAAACCUAAUGUCAUUUUCCCUAACCUAGAGAACUUAGAUCAGACUAAAGGAGAUCCUCUUCUCUUUCACAAAAAAGGGCAGUCACCUCUCACCAUAGCUCACCCCAAAAUCUCCUCCCCCAGAUGAAAAAAUGCUGGCAGCUCUUAGAAAGAGAGGACUGCUCUCUCACUCUCUGAUGUUGAAGACCAAAAAUCGGUCCUCCAUUCCCUUAUCAUCGUCAAAUGGCUUCCCCUUUCUUCUCACUCAAUAAAACCUAGCCAUCUCAUUCGCCCAUCACUUUCACACACACACACACACUAGAAGAUAGGUGAAAGCAGCUUUUCAAACUAAGAUCUGGAAUUUCAAGAGCUUCAAAAACAAAAAAAAAGUAAAAAGAAGGAAGAAAGAACCAUGAAAGAUUCUUAAAUCUGGUCCGAUUUCUAUUGUGUUUAGUUUGAUAAUUUCUGGAUUUUCGAGUCGAUUUUUGGCUGGGAUUGGUGCUGUUUUCUGCCGAUUCUAUUGAUGACUUCGUUGAGCUCUAGGUACACACACUGAAGCCUUUUUGUUCAUGUUUAAUUUAUGAAAUCAAUUAGUUGAAAUUACUUUUGAAGGUGAUGGAUGAUUCCUGUUGAACUUGAAUUUUGUGUUAUGAGUUAUAUUCCUUGAUAUUAAUACUAUAUAGCUUUCAACUUCUUCUGAUUUGUCCCUUAUAUUUCAGCAUGAUUCAAUAAUGCUAAAUCUCUGUUUGCUCUUUGUGAAUCCAUGAAAUUGACUGAAAUUUGUUGGAAUUUAGCUACUAGAUCCUGGGAUUACACUGAAGUUUGCUGAAAUUUAUUUUAUAAUGGUUGGGCAUUAAAUUUAAAGUUUAGAAAGAGCUGGAUUAAAUGAAACUAUCGAACUGUCUUUUUGCUAUUACUGUAGUUUUUUUGUAUUAACAUUUAGAAAUGAAGAGUAGUAAAGUUGGUUGAAGUAAUGAUUUUGCUGUUUAAGGAAGCAUGGUAUGUGUGAAUUCAAGGCCCGUAUCAAUUGUUUGGUUGGAUCUGCUAUUUGAUUAGCAAAAGUUCUGAUAUAACUUUAUAAAACUCAUAGUUUGAAAUAAAAUAGCUUCCCAAUUUGUGAGGGUCUAUUUUGUUUACCCAUUAUACUUUGGAUCUGGUAGAAGUUCAUUAGUUUAGGUUGGAGUUUGUUUGGCUAAAAAAUUAAAUAGUGUUGCUAAUAUGCUUCAUAGAAUUUUGAUGGUUCUUGAUUAGUCCUUUUAGUUUCAUUUUGGUUUGCUAUAGUCCUUGUGUUAAUUAGAGAGAUCAUUGAGUUUCUUUUCUUGAAUUCACGGCCUCGAUUAAGUUUAGGACAAGAGAAUUGGGUCUACAAUAACCUUAAAAGUAAUUUGGAAAAUAACACAUGAACAUCUUAGCUUGCUUUAGGCGCGAAUAAUAAACAUAACUAUGGGUACAGUUCCCAUGGCAUAGUUGCGAUACAUAAAUCCAAAUUCGGGUGUACAUUUCAUGUGACCCCAUCAUAACAACUUUGAAUAAUAAUAAUAAAAUAAACAUGGCGCAAGUCGCAGGUGCUCCAACCUACGAACACCGUAUCAAUUACUACACGAUGUACUAGAACAUGACUGCAUACCUUUGCUGAAUUCUCACCAUGCACCACAUCAUUCAUGGACCAUAAUAACAUUCCUUCGUGAUAAUAACCGACAUUUCCUGAAUCCGAUGCUCACAAUGCGCCUCAUGACAUAUAUAAAUCUUGUCCCAACUUUUGCAAUAUCGCCACGACGGAAGAGAUGUGUAGACAUUCAUAGCCAACUGCCGAGUCAACAUAUCAUUGAGUCUAUACUCCUGAGAAGAAAUAUCAUCUCAUUCUGAACCAAAUAAUGGUAUUUGCUCUUCGAUAUACUUCAUAUAAUCCGAUCGCAGUGAUCCUAGAUCCAAAAAUCUCAUCUCACCAGUACAAACUGCUCAGGCAAUAAGCCACCCCAGACAUGACCAAAAGUCUCAUAUGAUGCCAAAAGGUGCCGAGAGGCCACAAACUUGAAUGUAAUACAUAAGAAAAACGAACACUGGAAGGGACUGCUCAACUCACGCAACUAAUAUGAACUUUCCUCAUAAAAUGGGAAACAAAACACACAAAAUUUAGAAUAUAGAAAACCGUACUCAACAUCACACUGUUGCAGCGUGCAACCCAAUCCAAAAAAUAUACCCAUGGUGGAAUGACACCUGAUCCACACAUAAAAUCCAUAUAAGGAGAUACAUACCAAGCUAGAGUGUUCAUUACUACCAAAUACCGAAUAUUGGCCACAAGCACGCUAAGUGCAUAAUACCAUUGUAACGACCCGACUAGUUGUUUUACUUUCUAGAACCAUGUUCCCCUAAAUAAGACUUCUCGUACUUGCUUUAACUGAUUUACGACUUGUAGGAAUGGUUGGUUUGGGAUUUGGAAGAGUUUGGAUUGAAAUUGGAAUACUUAGUUCCUUAAGGUUGGCUUAAAAUGCCAAGUUUGACUUUGGUCAACAUUUUUAGUAAACGGAUCCGUACUUGUGUUUUGAUGGUCUCGGAGUAUCCGUAGUAAAAUAUGGGACUUGGGCAUAUGCCCGGAAUCGAAUUCCGAGGUCCCUAGCCCGAGUAAUGAAUUUUUGUUAAAAAUUGUUAAACUGAAAAUCUAAGGAUUUAAAGAAAUGGAAUAAUGUUUGAUCAUGUUGGUAUAGGACCCGUAUGUUGAUUUCGGAGCCCGGUACAGGUCCAAUAUAACAUUUAAGUCAUGUCUGUGAAAUUGGUGAGAAACGAGACUGAUUUGACGUGAUUCAGACGUCUGGUUGAAAAAUAGGAAUUUCAAAUGUUCUCAAGGAUUUCAUGCGUUUUGGUGCUAAAUCCAUAGUUUUAAUGUUAUUUUGGCAAUUUGAUUGCACGAGCAAGUUGGUAUGAUAUUAUUAGACCUGUGGGAGUAUUUGGUGUGGAGCCCCGAGGGAUCAGGUGAGUUUCGGACGCGAGGGGGGAGUAGAAAACACACCAGAUUUCUGGUGUUUUUGGUUGCUGCAACAGAUCUCGCAAUUGCGAUAGAUUUGUUCGCAAAUGUGAACCUCUCAUUUGCGAGGAGGGCUUCGCAAUUGUGAAGGAACCCGAUCCAGGAAGAGUUCGAAAUUGUGAUAACUCUACCGCAUUUGCGAUCCCAUCAGAAGUAGCAAUUGCGACUCUUGGGUCGCAUCUGUGACCACAACAACAUAAGCCCAAGUUUUGCAUUUGCGACCCUCGCAUUUGCAAACCUGUUGUUGCAAAUGCGACAUUAGAGGGUUGUGUCCAACUUUUAAAAAAUGGGACUUAGGUUAUUUAUUUAAUUUUACUUCUACACUUGGGCGAUUUGGGAGCUUUCAAAGAGAGGAUCUCAACUUAGCAUUGUGAGGUAAGUUAUUUCUACUCAAUAUGAGUUUAAUACUUGGAUUUUGGGUAGAUUAACACACAAAAAUUAGUAAAAAUAAUGGGAUUUGAGUAAAAUCUAGGGUUUUGAUAAAAACAAGAUUUAACCACGAAAUUUGUUAUGGAAUGAAGUAGAAAUUAUAUAUUAUUGAUCCUUAGGUUAUGUGUAACGACUUCCCUCAAAAGUUUCUGGAAUCCAGGCACGUGGGCCCGGGGAUGGAUUUUAGGAAACUUGCACUUAGGGUUGGGGAACUACUUUAAUAGUUGGGACAUGAACUCUUGAGCUUGUAUUGACUAGUUCUUACCCCGUUUAACUAGUUUUGGAUCGUUCGGCUCCAAAUUGAGGGUUUGAGCACGUUCUUGAUAUUGGAAGUAAGCUUUGGAGCGAGGUGAGUCUCCUAUCUAACCUUGUAAGAGGGAAUUGUCCCCAUAGGUAAAAUAAUUGAAUAACUUGCCACUAAAUGCGGGGACUACGUACGCACAAGGUGAUGAGAGUACGUGCAUAGCCACUAUUAUGCUUAAGUCCGGAUAGUCUAGGACCAAAAACUAUGCUUUAUGUGCUAUUCUUGUAACUUUAUUGUCAAUUUAGAUUGCUUAAAUCACAUUGAAUGUGGUAAAUGAAUUUAUAAUGAGGAAGUUCAUUUUCUUGACCUUUUAAGGAGAAGUUGACAUUUCUUUGAGUAAUUUCUUCCCUGAUAUAUUCCUGCCUGCCUGUUUGUUGUGUUUAAUUAUAUUUGACCGCGUCGCAUGUAUGAUUUGCGAGUAGAGUAAUAGAUGCAUUUAUGGUUCGCGCCGUUCGACCCUCCGACAGUGCACACUUUAUUUUAUGUUGGAUCGGGCCAUACGACCUCGACACUAUUUGUGCAUGCUUUUUGCUCGGUACUUCCUGUGAUUUGAACUGUGUUAGAUGUCCCGAAAUGUAAAUGGUUAUCUGUGAUAUUAUCUAGGAAAGAACCGAUCACUUCAUGCUAUAUAUUGUUAUUUAUUUAUGAUAUCCAUGCUUAGCAUAACAUUUUCUUAUAUUAUUUGACUCUAGUAAGUAUCAAGUCGAUCCCUUGUCACUACCUUUUCGAGGUUAGACUGAAUACUUACUAGGUACAUAUUGUUUAUGUACUCAUACUACACUUCUGUACUAAAUUGUACAGGAUCUGAAGCACGUACAUUUGGCUACCCGUCUGGUGCGCAUCCUUGAUAGUAGGCCGAGAUUCCACGGUGAACUGCUACCUUCCUACCCCGUUCAGCAGCAUGAUGGAGUCUCUCUUUGUUUUUGACUGUCUAUUCUAUUUGAGACAGUAGGAUAGAUUUAUUAUUUUGUAUAUUCUACUAGAUGCCUAUAUACUUGUGACACCAGGUCUUGACACACACAUUGGUAGACUAUUCUUUUGGGUUGUAUAACCACUAUUUUACGUUACUAAUUAUCACUUGUUUUAAAUUCAAAUUAAGAAAAUGAUGGAAUUAUUUUGGUAAAGUAAAAUGAGAACUCACUAAUAUUUUCGGGUUGGCUUGCCUGACAACGGUGUUGGGCGUCAUCAUGACCUGUAAUGAAAAUGGAUCGUGACAACCAUCCCCGGGAAGACAGAC
rnacentral:lncRNA from 1 species